ACAGCCCUGAAGACUGAAGUCCUCUAUCCACAGAAGAGAUCCUUUACAUUAAGGGCAAUAAUAAUGCAAGCUUCCCUACACUGCCCCACCGAUGUGCCUCAACCAUAUCUUCAAGGAACUGUUUUGAUGGGAGUUCAGUCUCCAGUCAGAUCCUUAGCUCAU
rnacentral:sRNA from 1 species